GAGCUCGACGCGAAAAACGAGCCGGAUUUCCUCUGGCGCCAUUUCCGCUCCUGGGUGCAUUUCAAGCUGCUGGUCGCACGCGGCUGGCUGCGUCACGGCCAUUUUGUCCGCGCGCGGAAAAUCCGCGCCUAUCUCGACAGCCAUAACGUGCGCAAGAUCCAUCUCGGAUCGACGUACCCGCUGAAUGGUUUCCUGAAUUCGCAGAUCACCGACACGGUGCCGAUCGACAUCAACCACAGGCUUCCGUUUCCGGACAAUUCACUCGACCUGAUCUACAAUUCGCACGUCGUCGA
rnacentral:misc_RNA from 1 species